CACAGCACAGACAAGGACUGGGGUGAAAAGUCAUAAAAAUGGCGCUGGCCGUUCGUCUUUUGCCCCGCUUGCUGCUCUUUCCGCCGCUGUCAGGCGGGCCCGCUCGACCCCGGACUCCCAGUGUAGCCGAGGUGAGGCCACCGUUGGCUGGACUUUGCUGCUUCUGCCGCCGCCUCCUUGGCUCCGGAGCGGCCCCGUUUCCUCGAGUCGCUUGGUCCUCGGCGCCGCUCGCUCGGGGCCCGCAGCGUCCUCUGCUCAGCCCUCCGGGACUCCCCGCCGCCUUCUCUGCUUUCCCUGCCUACCCUCGGCGCGGCUACAGCGCGGAGGAGCAGCCCCAGCCGCGCCAGAAAACCAAGAUGAUCAUUCUGGGAUUCUCCAACCCCAUCAACUGGGUUCGGACUAGAAUUUACGCCUUCCUAAUCUGGGCCUAUUUCGACCAAGAGUUCAGCAUCGCAGAAUUCUCUGAGGGAGCGAAGCAGGCUUUUGCUCAUGUGUCCAAGUUACUGUCACAGUGUAAAUUUGAUCUGUUGGAAGAACUUGUGGCCAAAGAGGUGCUCCAUGUAUUGAAGGAAAAGGUUACUUUACUACCUGACAACCAUAAAAAUGCCCUUGCUGCUGACAUAGAUGACAUUGUAUACACAUCAACAGGAGACAUCUCCAUUUACUAUGAUGAGAAAGGAAGGAAGUUUGUUAACAUCCUGAUGUGCUUUUGGUAUCUAACCAGUGCCAACAUCCCCAGUGAAACUUUAAGUGGAGCCAGUGUAUUCCAGGUUAAGUUGGGGGAUCAGAACGUGGAAACUAAACAACUUCUCAGUGCAAGCUAUGAGUCCAAAUAGAAUCCACCGAGGAGGUCUCCUUUGUGCCACCAGUAUACCCUGUGCAUGCAGCUCUGAGGACCUCCAGCCACUGCAUUCAGUGUUAGCUCACAGAAGAGCCGGGAAGCACCAGCAUGAAACCUGGAAGGAUGAGUGUCAGUGGCUUAGCCGGUGAUGCGGCGUCUCCAACGCUUGAUGCCCGGAGGACACGGUGUGGAGAAAACACAGCCACCAGCAGUUACGAGGCAAAAAGUGAUUCAGGAAGUCAGACUCAGAAUGUGAAGUUUAGGAAUACCUGAACCAAUUUUUUUCACUCAUAUUUUUAUAUAUGCAUGAGUGCUAUAUGAUAAAACCAAUGUC